rnacentral:rRNA from 1 species
AUGAGGGCUCCCAUGGCCGUAAGGCGCGUGACCAUUCUCCUCCUCCUCCUCCACCUCAUGCCCUUCCACGCCGUGGCCGCUGCGGCGGGCGAGCGGCGGGCUGGGACGAUCGCCCGGAAGCAGCAGCGUCGGCGGCAAGUGCUGCUGCAGGAGAAGGCCACGCUCCUAGCGUUGAAACGCUCGCUCACCUUGCUGUCGCCGUCGGCUCUGGCUGACUGGAACGAGUCCAACGGCGAUGUCUGCGGCCUCGCCGGCGUCGCCUGCGACCGGAGGCGGCAGCACGUCAUCGGCCUGUCACUAGGCGGCAUGAACAUCUCUGGCCCGGUGCCGCCGGUCAUCGGUAACCUCACACGCCUCAAGAUCCUUGACAUGUCCAGAAAUUUUCUCACAGGGCAGAUACCCGCCGAGCUCUCCAACCUCCGCAGCAUCCAGGUCCUCGACCUCGGCCACAACCAGCUCAGCGGCGGCAUCCCGCCGUCCCUCUCUCAGCUGGCGAGCAUGUACUACCUCAGGCUCAAGGAUAACCACCUCUCAGGUCCUAUCCCGGCCAUUCUCUUCAAGAACUGUACCAGUCUAGGUCUGGUCGACUUCGGCAACAACGACCUCUCCGGGGAGGUCCCCCACGACGCCUCGGAGAACAUUCAAGUCCUCAACCUCUACUCCAACAGGCUAACCGGAAGACUCCCACGGUGGCUUGCCAACUGCACAUAUCUGUACCUGCUGGAUGUGGAGGACAACUCGCUCGCCGACGAGCUCCCCGCCGACAUCAUAGCGGGCAAGCAGAAUCUCAAGUACCUGCAUUUGUCCAACAACCACCGGUUCUCGAGCCACGACGGCAACACCAACCUGGAGCCCUUCUUCGCCGCAGUAUCAAACUGCUCCCAGAUACUGGAGAUAGAGGCCGGUGCUGUGCGGAUGGGCGGGUGGCUGCCAAGCCGGCUUGGCUCGUUGCUCCCACCAAACAUGUCUCACCUCAACCUGGAGCUCAACGCGAUCAGGGGCCCGAUCCCUGCUGACAUCGGCGAUGUGAUAAACAUCACCCUGAUGAACCUCUCAAGCAACCAGCUGAAUGGGACAGUCCCGGCAUCCAUCUGCGCGUUGCCGAAGCUUGAGCGGCUCUCCCUGUCCAACAACGACCUGACGGGCAUGAUCCCGGCAUGCAUAGGCAACGCAACAAGCCUCGGCGAGCUGGAUCUGUCAGGCAAUGCACUGUCAGGGAGCAUCCCGAGCGGCAUCGGGACCGGGCUUGUCAACCUCUACCUGCAGAACAACCAACUGUCCGGGGAGAUACCGGCAAACCGCCUUGCCGAAUGCAUCCGCUUGCUGCACCUUGACCUCUCAAACAACAGCUUGACUGGAGAGGUACCAGACAUGGUCUCUGGCACCGACAUUAUAUCUCUGAACCUGUCGCACAACCAGAUCAGAGGUGAGUUGCCGCGGGGGCUCAGCGAGAUGCAACAGGUGCAAGUGAUUGACCUGUCCUGGAACAACUUCACUGGCACGAUCUCCCCACAGCUCUGGCUCUGCAGCGAGCUGGAGGACCUCGACCUGUCGCACAACUUGCUCACCGGCGUCUUGCCGUCGUCCUUCGACCUCCUCAAGGACCUAAAAAACCUGGACGUCUCCGACAACUCCCUGACCGGAGAGAUCCCUGCAAACCUGACGAAAUGCACCAGCCUGAAGCAUUUCAACCUGUCGUACAACGACUUCGUCGGCCAUGUGCCCACCACCGGCGUCUUUGCAGACUUCACCUUCCUGUCCUACAUUGGCAACCCACGGCUCUGCGGCUCAGUGGUGAGGCGCAACUGCCAAAGGCACCGCCCAUGGUACCAGUCCCGCAAGUAUUUGGUAGUGAUGUGCAUCUGCGCCGCCGUGGUGGCAUUCGUGCUGACAAUCCUCUGCGCGGUCGGUGCCUGGAAGAUCCGGGAUUGGCUAGCUGCAGUGCGGGAGGACAUGUUCAGGGGGCGACGCAGCGGAGGCUCGUCACCGGUGAUGAAGUACAAGUUCCCGCGGAUCACACACCAGGAGCUGGUUGAGGCCACGGAGGAGUUCAGUGCAGACCGGCUUGUCGGAACGGGCAGCUACGGCCGCGUGUACCGUGGCACCCUGCGGGACGGCACCAUGGUUGCCGUGAAGGUGCUGCAGCUCCAGUCAGGGAACUCGACCAAGAGCUUCAGCCGCGAGUGCCAGGUCCUGAAGCGCAUCCGCCACCGGAACCUCAUGCGGAUCAUCACCGCAUGCAGCCUGGCGGACUUCAAGGCGCUGGUCCUACCAUUCAUGGCGAAGGGCAGCCUCGAGCGGUGCCUCUAUGCUGGGCCGCCGGCCGAGCUCAGCCUGGUGCAGCGCGUCAACAUCUGCAGCGACAUUGCCGAGGGGGUUGCCUACCUGCACCACCACUCGCCGGUCAAGGUUAUCCACUGCGACCUCAAGCCAAGCAACGUCCUCAUCAACGACGACAUGACCGCUCUGGUGUCCGACUUCGGCAUCUCCCGGCUGGUCAUGAGCGUUGGCGGGGUUGCCAACACGGCUGAUGUCGGCGCCUCCACCGCCAACAUGCUGUGCGGUUCCAUCGGGUACAUUCCUCCAGAGUAUGGCUACGGCUCGAACCCGACGACGAAGGGCGAUGUGUACAGCUUCGGCGUUCUGAUGAUGGAGAUGGUAACGAGGAAGAAGCCGACCGACGACAUGUUUGAGGGCGGGCUGAGCCUGCACAAGUGGGUGAAGAGCCACUACCAUGGCCGGGCCGACGCGGUGGUCGACCAGGCGCUGGCCAGGAUGGUUAUGGACCAGACGCCCGAGGUGAGGAGGAUGUCGGACGCGGCCAUAGGCGAGCUGCUGGAGCUCGGCAUUCUCUGCACCCAGGAGAGCGCGUCCACGCGCCCGUCUAUGUUGGACGCCGCCGACGAUCUGGACCGGCUCAAGCGGUACCUCGGCGGCGACACGGCCGCUACAUUCGAGUCCUCGUUGGGCUUCUCAUCCACGGUAGUCGAAGAUAUUAAUUGA